AAGAAUAUACUUUCAGGGAUUAUUUCUAGAGUUUGUUGCUGCAGAAGUUUUUUUGUACUCAUAGAAUGCCCAAAACCAUAAGGAGGAGGCAUAGGAUACUCUCCUGGGAAUGAUGCUGUUUCUUGGUUGUUUCUUCUGCAACUGCCCUUUGCACUGAUGCUUGCUCUCUUCUCUAGAGAGGGUAAGAGUGAGAAGAUGCAGUCUGAGUGGU